GGAGUCAGGUACAGCUUGGGUUCCGGCGCGCUUGGCUUCUUACUGAUUACCAUAAUAUUUGCCACGUAUGUAGGUCUUAACAUUAUUCGUACAACAUAUUAAUUGGCUGCAGUGAUGCGCUUGGGUUCGAUUAUUGGUACAUGCGCAGUACCAGUAAUGCGCGCAUCCUGUGCAGGAGCCAUUAUUGAUCUCUUUCCGCCUGCUUUGACCGAGUCAUCCUAGGAUCACACAUUGAUCAAUUCUUAUCCGAGGUACAAAGUACCGCAAGUAAGUUACGUAGAGUAACGCAGGUACAAGUUGCCAACACUAGAUGAGAGUAUUUAGUAUACGGAUAUAUAAGUGACUAAACCAAGUGACCAAACCUCCGAUCACUGUGUUCAGGGAGUUUAUCAUUUUCAAGCUAAUCUAAGAAAUGGCGAAAACAUGGACAGUUGUUAGAUUCGAAGACGAAGAUGUUGUAGAAGCAGUUCCAACAAAAUGGAUUGCUAAUGGCACAUGUUAUUGGCCAACGUGUACAACAGAAAAGGUGUUAAAAGCUGUAAAAGAUCAUGUUGAUUUUGAUACUUCAUGGAAUAGGUAUAAAGUAUAUGUCUUCAAAAAUAGUACCUCAGAAAGUUAUUACGCUUGCAGACUAAAAGCGAAAAAAGCUGAAGAUACUUCAGGUUUAAAUUCUGAUUGUCCUACAAAACGAAUAAUGAAGAAAAAUCGUUAUUAUGACAGUAAUUAUGACGUUAGCUCCGAUUCGGAUAAUGAUGCAAAUGAUAACACGUUACCAUCUCCACCAGAUGUACAAGAUUAUUCUGAUACAGAAAUCCAAACAUCAAAUAUAAAACAUGACUCUAAUAAUAACUUACCUACAUCUUCUGUAAAAAGAAAGUGUUAUAAUAAAGAAAACCGUAGACCAUUAGAAAUGUGCCGAAAUAAAAAACGAAACAUAAAUGUUAGAAAAACAUAUUACGAUUCUUCAUAUGACAACGUACCUGGACCAUCGAAUACUGAAUCAUAUACUUCUAAUAUAGAACAAAAAAAUUCCGAUAAAGGUCGUCAAUUGCCAUGCCAUCUCUCGUUUCUGUCAUAAUGCAGAAUUUAAACGAAGAUCAAGCAACCUUAAUAAGAGAUACUUAACACAAAUGAAAAAUUUCGGAGAGUAUUCAAAGAAUUAUUUUUGUUAAGAGAAAUAACAAGAG